AUGUCUGUGGAAUGCCCAGGGUGGGAGAAAGAAGGUGUUGGAGAAAAUAUACUUUUUUCUGGCUCUUUUGGAGGAAAAGAACUGGAUUCCAAAACGAUUCUCUGCUAUCAAGAGGAGGAAGAAAGCGUCAGUCUGCUCCUGGAGCCAAUUGUUCUAGUCUGGCUGAGAGCAGACUGAAAGGACAAGCUUGAAUGGAUUUCAUAGGAGGCUGAAGGUUAUCUUCCUCACCAGGAAAGAUAAUUGCUUUGUUUUUACAAUUUGGAAAAAGGGCACAGUAAGAGAAUCAGGGAAGCUUUUCUGCCGUGCUGGAUUAUGCUUUUGCAAUGGCUUUUUAAGGCGCCAGUGUAGUGUAAAGGUUUCAGUAUUAGACUGUGAAUUUGGAGCUCGGGAUUCAAAUCCUCAGAUAUAGAAACUCACUGGGUGACCUUGGGCAUUGACCCCGGUGGCACAAUGAGUUAAACCCUUGCACCGGCAGGACUGCUGACCAAAAGAUUGGCAGUUCAAAUCCCGGGGGGGGGGGUGAGCUCCUGUCUUUCGGCUCCAGCUUCCCAUGCGGGGACAUGAGAGAAGCCUCCCACAGUAUGGUAAAACAUCCAGACACCCCCUGGGCAACGUCCUUGUGGAUGCCCUAUUUUCUCACACCAGAUGCGGCUUGCAUUUUCUCAAGUAAUUCCUGACACGGGGGGAAAAAACCUUGGGUAUGUCAUGUCACACUUUCUCAGCCUUAGAGGAAAUAAAAGAUAAAUACUGUACAAAUAAAGUUUGCCAAGAAAACCCUGUGAAAGGGUCACAUUA